GGUAGUCCUAGCCGUAAACGGUGGGUGCUAGGUGUGGGGAUCGCAAGAUUUCCGUGCCGCAGCUAACGCAUUAAGCACCCCGCCUGGGGAGUACGGCCGCAAGGCUAAAACUCAAAGGAAUUGACGGGGCCCGCACAAGCGGCGGAGCGCGUGGCUUAAUUCGAUGCAAAGCGAAGAACCUUACCAGGGCUUGACAUGCUGGUAGUAGUCGCCCGAAAGGGUCGGCGACCCGUAGAGUCGGGUACUAGCACAGGUGCUGCAUGGCUGUCGUCAGCUCGUGCCGUGAGGUGUUGGGUUAAG
rnacentral:rRNA from 1 species